rnacentral:rRNA from 1 species
AGCAAGCGUACGAAGGCGUACACGGCGGCCGAGGACAAGCUUCUUUGCGAGUGUUGGCGAGACAUUGGACAAGACCCCAAGACGGGCGCCGAGCAAAAGCAUUCAACCUUUUGGAUUCGUGUCUAUCGAGAGUUUCAUGAGCGCAAGAAGUUUCCGCCGUACCAAUUUGUGAGCACACACGGGUGGGUCUCCAUUUCCAAGCGGUGGAGGGUGAUCCAACAAGAGUACAAUAAGUUCUGCGCCACUCUUGAGAGCGUCAAGGCCUGCCCCGUGAGCGGCAUCGGCAUGCAAGACAUGGUAUGCUAG